UAAUAGCGUAUAUUAAAGUUGUUGCGGUUAAAAAGCUCGUAGUUGAAUUUUGUUGCAAUCAGCCGAAUGAAGAUCAUUGAUUUUCCAUUUUGUUGAUUUCGACAUUAUGAUCAUGAAUGAAUUAUUUAAUUAAUUUUAAGUAAGAAGAUGGAUUCGGUUCCAUCGUCAUCAUGAUCCAUUUAUUUUGAGUAAAUUAGAGUGUUCAAAGCAGGUUUCAAGUAUAGGUGACCAUUGAAUAUUCGAGCAUGAGAUAAUGGAAUAGGACUUUCUUUCUAUUUUAUUGGUUUCUAGGAUGAAAGUAAUGAUGAAUAGGGACAGUUGGGGGCAUUCGUAUUUAAUAGUCAGAGGUGAAAUUCUUGGAUUUAUUAAAGACGAACUAGUGCGAAAGCAUUUGCCAAGGAUGUUUUCAUUGA
rnacentral:rRNA from 1 species